rnacentral:lncRNA from 1 species
AAAACACACAUCAUCUAUGGAUAGCCCUGCCAAACAUCACCCAACCCCGGGUGAGGAGUACAAAAAACUCUAGGAGCCCCUAUCCUACAACCCUGAUACUAGACCUCCAGACUUUCCUGUCAAGGGUUAUGUCCUCGGAAACCCGCAUUCUUGCUCGAUAUUUAAGGAACUCAUUAUACUCCCCUUCAGAUACAGAAAAUCGCUGGUUACCUGUAGUCUCGGUCUGAGCAACAUAAGCAUUUUUGGGUUGUCGACCAUGUAAAGAAUAGCACACGUCACGAGUGUGACCAAGUUUAUAACAAUAAGAACACUUGGGUCUAGAUCUUCCAAAACGACCUCCUUCUCUU